rnacentral:rRNA from 1 species
ACCCUUGUCCUUANUUGCCAGCGGGUAAUGCCGGGAACUUUAAGGAAACUGCCGGUGACAAACCGGAGGAAGGUGGGGACGACGUCAAGUCAUCAUGGCCCUCACGGGGUGGGCUACAAACGUGCUACAAUGGGCGGUACAAAGGGCUGCGACCCANCAAUGGUGAGCGAAUCCCAAAAAACCGCUCGUAGUCCGGAUAGGAGUCUGCAACUCGACUCCUUGAAGUCGGAAUCGCUAGUAAUCGCGAAUCANAAUGUCGCGGUGAAUACGUUCCCGGGCCUUGUACACA